rnacentral:rRNA from 1 species
AACGAACGCUGGCGGCAUGCCUAACACAUGCAAGUCGAACGAGACCUUCGGGUCUAGUGGCGCACGGGUGCGUAACGCGUGGGAACCUGCCCUUAGGUUCGGAAUAACUCCCCGAAAGGGGUGCUAAUACCGGAUAAUGUCUUCGGACCAAAGAUUUAUCGCCUUUGGAUGGGCCCGCGUUGGAUUAGCUAGUUGGUAGGGUAAAAGCCUACCAAGGCGACGAUCCAUAGCUGGUCUGAGAGGAUGAUCAGCCACACUGGGACUGAGACACGGCCCAGACUCCGACGGAGGGCAGCAGUGGGGAAUAUUGGAAAAUGGGCGAAAGCAUGACCCAGCAGUGCCGGGUGAGUGAUGAGGGCCUUAGGGUUGUAAAGCUCUUUUACCCGGGAUGAUAAUGACAGUACGGGGAAAAUAAGCCCCGGCUAACUCCGG